UACGGGGGGGGCGAGCGUUGUUCGGAAUUACUGGGCGUAAAGGGUUCGUAGGUGGCCUGCUAAGUCAGACGUGAAAUCCCUCAGCUUAACUGGGGAACUGCGUCUGAAACUGGCGGGCUUGAGUGCAGGAGAGGAACGCGGAAUUCCAGGUGUAGCGGUGAAAUGCGUAGAUAUCGUGAGGAAGACCAGUUGCGAAGGCGGAUCUCUGGGCAGUUCCUGACACUGAGGCACGAAGGCCAGGGGAGCAAACGGG
rnacentral:rRNA from 1 species